GAUGAACGCUGGCGGCGUGCCUAAUACAUGCAAGUCGAGCGAAUGGAUUAAGAGCUUGCUCUUAUGAAGUUAGCGGCGGACGGGUGAGUAACACGUGGGUAACCUGCCCAUAAGACUGGGAUAACUCCGGGAAACCGGGGCUAAUACCGGAUAAUAUUUUGAACUGCAUGGUUCAAAAUUGAAAGGCGGCUUCGGCUGUCACUUAUGGAUGGACCCGCGUCGCAUUAGCUAGUUGGUGAGGUAACAGCUCACCAAGGCAACGAUGCGUAGCCGCCCUGGGAGGGUGAGCGGCCACGCUGGGACUGAGAGACGGCCCAGACUCCUACGGGAGGCAGCAGUAGGGAAUCUUCCGCAAUGGACGAAAGUCUGACGGAGCAACGCCGCGUGAGUGAUGAAGGCUUUCGGGUCGUAAAACUCUGUUGUUAGGGAAGAACAAGUGCUAGUUGAAUAAGCUGGCACCUUGACGGUACCUAACCAGAAAGCCACGGCUAACUACGUGCCAGCCGCCGCCGUAA
rnacentral:rRNA from 1 species